rnacentral:rRNA from 1 species
GUGUCAGCCGCCGCGGUAAUACGGAGGGUGCAAGCGUUAUCCGGAUUUAUUGGGUUUAAAGGGUCCGUAGGCGGGCCCGUAAGUCAGUGGUGAAAUCUCGCAGCUUAACUGUGAAACUGCCAUUGAUACUGCGGGUCUUGAGUAAAUUUGAAGUGGCUGGAAUAAGUAGUGUAGCGGUGAAAUGCAUAGAUAUUACUUAGAACACCAAUUGCGAAGGCAGGUCACUAAGAUUUAACUGACGCUGAUGGACGAAAGCGUGGGGAGCGAACAGGAUUAGAAACCCCCGUAGUCC